rnacentral:rRNA from 1 species
AGGUGCUGCAUGGCUGUCGUCAGCUCGUGUCGUGAGAUGUUGGGUUUAAGUCCCGCAACGAGCGCAACCCUUGCCUUUAGUUGCCAGCAGUUCGGCUGGGCACUCUAAAGGGACUGCCGGUGUUAAACCGGAGGAAGGUGGGGAUGACGUCAAGUCCUCAUGGCCUUUAUGACCAGGGCUACACACGUACUACAAUGGCCGAUACAAAGGGCAGCGACACUGCGAGGUGAAGCCAAUCCCGUAAAAAUCGGUCUCAGUCCGGAUUGGAGUCUGCAACUCGACUCCAUGAAGUUGGAAUCGCUAGUAAUCGUGGAUCAGCAUGCCACGGUGAAUACGUUCCCGGGCCUU